rnacentral:rRNA from 1 species
CAGCAGCCGCGGUAAUACGUAUGUCGCGAGCGUUAUCCGGAAUUAUUGGGCAUAAAGGGCAUCCAGGCGGCCUAACAAGUCAGGGGUGAGAACCUGCGGCUCAACCGCAGGCCUGCCUUUGAAACUGUAAGGCUGGAGUACCGGAGAGGUGGACGGAACUGCACGAGUAGAGGUGAAAUUCGUAGAUAUGUGCAGGAAUGCCGAUGAUGAAGAUAGUCCACUGGACGGAAACUGACGCUGAAGUGCGAAAGCCGGGGGAGCGAACAGGAUUAGAUACCCCAGUAGUCCCUGUCUCUUAUAC